UUUUUUCUCUUAUCACUGGGACGUUUGUUCUCUGUAAAGAUGACAUGCACUAAAUAUACACCCCCAACCCCCCCCAUACCCCACACACACACACACACACACACACAAAGACUGUGCAGAGAUUAUUUUCCUUGACACGAACUCAAUCACACCCCUCCCUCCCCGUAUCUUUAUCCUCUGUCCGCCUUUGGCUCAUAAACCCGACUAUAAACCCACCGCAGCGGGGAACUCAAAUCAGCUAAAGAGAUCUGGGGACUCGAGCAGAGCAGCUUUGGACCCCGCAGCUCUCUUUAAUCUGUCUACUACACGAACGAGGAGGAACGCGAGAGCCCGGUGGACGGACCAUUCUAGGCUAGAUGGAGGACGGUGUAGGUGUGUGAGGUUUAUCUGCGUUGGUGCGUCUGCACGCGGUUUUUAGGGGCGGGGGUGUACACACAUUAGUAGUCCCACGCACCUGAUGAAAUCAUUCGAUAAUAACUCCCUUGUGUGUAAAGAGUAUAAGCGUAAAGAACACUCAAGCCAGAAUAUACCUUCGCGCUCUCAUUAGCAUGAAUUUGCUUUACUUAAGUAGAUAUUUAGACGCUGUGCGUGCGCGCGCGCUUUAAUCACUUUCACUGUUAUACUGCGUGGGCAGGUGCUUGAUGAUGCAGCAUCAUUUAUUAAUUAGUUCAUGGUAAUCAGAUUCCAGCCGCCGAGCUGUCACUCAUCCCCACACCCUCGAACGCAUGAGACACAAUGUCCUCUCUGUAGCGCUCAUGCAUGACUUCCUCUUGUUCAUGUAAAACUAUCUGUAUCCGAACAGUCCCAUCUGUCUCGGUCUUCCGUUCCAUCCGCUGGCGUAGUGUUACGCACCUAGCCUAACGCGCACUUCUGGUCGCCCGGGACGGCGCGUCUCGGUCCGAGGCUACGGGCCGCGCGACAAUUAGCCGAUUAAUCGAGCCAAGCGUGUUCAAGGAAAACACAACCGUUUGCAGGGACCGCUAGGCUUGUCACCUGGAUAUGGGUAGAAAAUAGAUUUUCUACAGAUGCAUGGGGUAAAUAAAUAAAUAAAUAAAUAAAUAAAUAAAUAAAUAUGAAAGGAUCUUUGUGUUUGACAGGCGCAGUGGUGAAGUCGGCAGGUUGAGGAAAUAAAAUCAAAAUCACUUUGCUUUGUGGACGUGUGGAGAAAUGUCUCCCUGUGUAAUGUUGCGCGUGUGUUUUUUUUUUUUUUUUUUCGUGAUUAGGUGGGUUUCUACAAUAACUCUUUUAACAUUUAUUUAUUUUUUUAAUCUUCACCCACACUACGGCGUUCUCGUCGCGGAUAAUGAGCUUGAUUUGACGUCUUCCUGUACUUGCCCUCACUCAAAAAUGCGACAUUAAUAGCGUACCUAGCGCACUAACUAUACGCUUUAUGUUAUUAUAUACGCCAUUCGGGUACGGAAAAGUGCGCGAAAAGAUGUACGUGCCUGUUCGAAACUAAUCAUAAGGAUUAGGCGUCUUUACGGGUCACGUAUACGUUACAGCGCAGUGAAAUCCGUUUUCCUUCGCACACCCCGGCACGUCAGGAGGUUGGGUCAGCGCGCCGGGUCGGCCGUGAGCGGAGACGCUUAAGGGCCUCGCUCGAGGGCCCGACGGUAGACGUCCAGCGUAUACGUGAAAGCCCGUUCUAUGAAAGCUGCAAUGUCUAAACUAAACGUAACGAGCACGUCUCGUAACUGCACGCCUUUUCCUGCCGAAUAACACGUUCUAAGAGGCGAGUGACUGACUCGCACGGCUGCGCCGAUGCAGUGUUUUUCGGUCUGAGGACGAGUGCGUCGGUGCCGAAUUGAAACCCAUACCGAAACGGACAUCGUACAUCGUACGGAGCGAUCAGGCGGCAUCAUGGAACAUUUCAUUUAACUGUUCGGGUUAUUUAUUUAUUUAUUUAACGUUUGUUGCUGCGUGCUGCUAGCACUGAGAUCCCCAUGCUGAGUUUGAUGUUUUAUUGAUCAGCGAGAGUUCAAUCAGAAGAAGUGAAGAAGAAGAAGCGCAGUUCCUGUAGUGAGAUCCUGUAGCUGUUGAGAUUUUCACCGGACGCGGCGGAAAAUUAGCCUCGGUCCGAUUGCAGUCGUUAAUCAUGAAGGACAUCAUGGUGUUAGAUAUUAGUAUCGGGGGUUUAUUUAUUUAUUUAUUUAUUUAUUUAUUUUAAUCGAGGUUGUGUAAGUGAGCGCGGUAUCCGGCCGAUACGUAACGCCAGCACGUUUAUCACGGCGAUCCCGAUGCGUACUGAUUCGUAAUCCGCCCCGCUCUUCGAUUUUCUGCUUGAACGUGCCGGUCCUUCUGCGCAGUACGUACGUGAGGUCAGACCGUAGGUUAUGAGGUAGUAAAGCGUUUCUUGCAUCGCGCAGCGGAUGCGUCCUGAUUCCCGAUAGGCAAUUUUACAGAUGGUUGAAUUAGUCUAUUACUAAAAAAAAUAUAGUAAAGCAAAACAAAAGUGCCUGGCUUAAUGAAGAGGGAGAGAAAGAAAAGAAAAGUGAGACACACAUGCACAGCUGGUUAUUAAAGUGCCCUGCCAUGCUAUGCUAAUGCAGUCUCGUUCUUCAAGACAUAAGGAGAUUAGUAGCCAUAAGCAUGCCUCAUGGGACAUCUGCAUGUGAUGAUUUUGCCCAUGAUAAUGCUCCGCCUCUUGCUCUUCAGCAGAGCUGUGCGAGGCAUCAAACACUCCAUUCGAACUUGUUUCCUUUUGUUCAUGCAUUUCUGCAUUUGACCCCUUUCUUAUGUCGGUAAUGGAUACCACGGGUAAGACUUCACCGCACAGUACGUGUACGGAUAUGGUGGCUCUGAUUGCGUACAUGAUAUUUAUCCAUUUUUAAGAACACCUCAAGUUUUUUCCCCUGUAAGUGAAGUCCUAAGUUUUUUGUAUUAAGUGGACAUUGCUGUGGCGGACACUCAGGGUUUCAUUUGGAUGCAGAAAUCUGUAAAAGGUGAGCAGUUAUAUAAAAACAAACACAUGUGAUCAGUAUAUAAAAGAUUCAGACAAAGGUGAGCGGUAUGCAGAACGAUGAACAACGGUACGCAGUGUGUAAAACCAAACAAAACUGAGCACUAUUUAAAAACAUGCAAAGGUGAGCGCGGUGUAUGACGACAAACAGGAAGAGCGGUGUAUAUAACGACAAACAGGAAGAGCGCGGUGUAUAACGACGAACAGGAAGAGCGGUGUAUAACGACAAACAGGAAGAGCGGUGUAUGACGACGAACAGGAAGAGCGGUGUAUAACGACGAACAGGAAGAGCGGUGUAUGACGACAAACAGGAAGAGCGGUGUAUGACGACAAACAGGAAGAGCGGUGUAUAUAACGACAAACAGGAAGAGCGGUGUAUGACGACAAACAGGAAGAGCGGUGUAUAUAACGACAAACAGGAAGAGCGGUAUAUAUAACGACAAACAGGAAGAGCGGUGUAUGACGACAAACAGGAAGAGCGGUGUAUGACGACAAACAGGAAGAGCUGUGUAUAUAACGACAAACAGGAAGAGCGGUAUAUAUAACGACAAACAGGAAGAGCGGUGUAUGACGACAAACAGGAAGAGUGGUAUAUAUAACGACAAACAGGAAGAGCGGUGUAUAACGACAAAGUUGUGCAGUAUAUAACGGCAAACAGGAAGAGCGGUGUAUAACGACGAACAGGAAGAGCGGUGUAUAUAACGACGAACAGGAAGAGCGGUGUAUAACGACGAACAGGAAGAGCGGUGUAUAUAACGACGAACAGGAAGAGCGGUGUAUAACGACAAACAGGAAGAGCGGUGCAUAACGACAAACAGGAAGAGCGGUAUAUAAAAAAAUGAGCAAAAACCCC
ensembl:lncRNA